ACUGCAUUUCACUAGGAAGGGCACUAUACACUGGUAGGAUAAUCAACUCAGGGACAUUUUUACCAAGACCUUUCAUCCUCUCAUAAAGAGACUGGCAUGCAAAAUCAAUCUCUUCUUGUCCAGUCAAGAAAAGAAGGAUGUCACCUUCAGGUUCUGUCAAGUGUAUUUGUAGAACAGUUAUUAGAGAUGCAUCAAGGUAGUCGCUUUCCGGCUGUUUAGUGUAGAGUAUCUCUACAGGAAAAGUUCUCCCAGGGAUAGUGAAGAUGUUACAGUUAAAGAAAUAACCGGAAAACUUCUCCGCAUCCAAGGUAGCAGAUGUGACAAUCAAACGAAGGUCUGGUCUCCGCUUCACAAGCUUCUUCAGUAGUCCAAAAAGAACAUCUGUGUGGAUUGUCCUCUCAUGAGCUUCAUCAAGCAUGACCACAGAAUACUGAGAAAGGUUCUCAUCAAUCAAAAUCUCCCUAAGAAGCAUACCAUCAGUCAUGUACUUGAUGACAGUGUCUGGACCAGUGCAAUCCUCAAAACGAAUUGCAUAGCCGACUUCCUCUCCUAAACGACAACCAAACUCUUCAGCAACCCUCUUGGCCACAGACAUAGCAGCCACCCUACGUGGCUGUGUACAACCAAUCUUACCCAUUGUCGUGUAACCCGCUUCUGCAAGAUACUGCGUUACCUGUGUUGUCUUACCCGAACCAGUCUCACCAAUGACGACAAGCACUUGGUUCUCAUGCACCGCUGCAAUCAAUUCUUUCUUCAGCUUGUAGAUAGGCAAGCUCUGCCUCUGUUCCUGGAUUGAGAGUUUUGACCUCUGCCCAAAACUGAUAGUUUUCCCAAAAGCAUCCUUCUUCCACUCAGGCAUAUCAUAUGCUGACAAACCAACACCUCUAAGUUCUUGUGCAAGAUGCCUCUCACCAGUCUCUGGCAUUGGAUCUUCCCAGGGACGAUUGAGAUCCUUUGGGAUAGAAUCCAACAUGGUUCUCUGCUGCUGCUCACGCACUUCUCUACGCUCCUUAAUGAGUGCGGACUGAAGUGCAGCUGCACGACCCAGUGACCCUUCUGGAUUCUUAAAGAUUUUCACAGGUGACAUAUCAACAGAAUACCUGCUCUGUCCAUUUAAAAAGGCUGGCUCGUCCUCAUUGAGCUCAAUCUCAAGCUCUUCCUCAGCUCCCUCUUCUUGAUAAAGCAUCCCAUCGGUUUCCUCAUCAUACAUAGGAUACUCUGUAACACCCAAAACACCUGAGGCAAUCAACUGUUUGGCUUCCCACUUCUCUGGCGAGCUCAUUCUCUUCAAUGGCCGACGUGAUGGGCCAACAUCAUCCUCUUCCACAAUCCUAAUCCCAGAAAGACCAGUCCUAGUCACAGGUCCAUCCUUUGAAAAAGAUGGGUUCGUCCUAAGAGCAUCAUCCUCUGAGCUCUUCUUCAAGGGGAGCAAAUCCUUCCCUGUAUGUUGAUCAACAUCCCUCAUUGAAAGGCUCAACUUCUGACCUGAAAUUGAAAUCACCUUCACAUAAACUUCCUGAUCCCUCUUCACCACAUCCUUAGCAUUGCUAAUUCGCCUAGUUGCCAUCUGUGAAACGUGAACCAGACCCUCCUUCCCUCUUAAAUCAUUCAACUGAACAAAACAACCGGUGUCCAUCACUCUCGAAACCCUGCCCUUAUAAACCUGAUACAAUUCGGGCUCAUCCGAAUGGUUCUGGCCGUUCUGCCGAUCCCUAUUACCUCUCCUAUCAUCACCAUCUUCCUUAACAUCUCCAUCGUCUUCAUACCUAUCUCUCUUAUGCUUAUUGUAUCGAUCUGUAUGCCUUCCCCUGUCAUCAUCAUCAUCAUUAUAAUGUGUAUCUCUGCGCCUCUCAUCUCUAUCAUACCUUUCCCUUCGCCUCUCCCUCCCAUCUCUAUCUCUACCUCCUCUGUGUCUAUCUCGAUCUCUAUCUCUAUCUCCUUCCCUAUAUCUAUCACUACCUCUACGCCUAUCUUCUUCUCGCUCUUCAUCUUGUUCUUCUCUUCUGUUUCGCUUUUCCUUGGUCUCCAUCUCAAUUUCCUUCUCGAUGUCCUUGACUCUAUCUUUAUUAUCAGCGACUGCCAAAGCCUUAAACUUGGUCUUCCUACCAUCAGAAGCGCUCUCUUUCUUCGAGUCCUUCUCAGGCUUUGGCUUUGGUGGAAGAAUAGCGUGAAUGAUAGUGAGGAGUGUACGGACAAAGUAAUCGGGCAUCUCGGCACCGUUUUUCUUUAAUUUGGUGUCAAACUCGUCCACCGUCUCGCACUUUCGUCCCAACUCAGUGAUGAACUCCGCCAGAACUUUGUCCCCAACCCCUAUAUGGGUUUCGAGCUCUGAACAGACCUUGGAAACCAAGGAAAGGUACUCGAGCUUCUUCAAACCAUCGUCAGUGGCAGCCAUUAUGAACUUGCAGAGGUCCUAUUCAUAUUCAAUACAAAAACAAAUCAUAUCAAUAGAAAUUUCAAAAUUUAUGAGAAGAUGCAUAAACCGUAUAAUAUUAACUUGCACAGGCCCUAUUCAUAUUCAAGACAAAAAAUUCAUAUCAACGGAAAUUUCAAAAUUUAUGAGAAGAUCAUUGCUAUAUACUUUUAAUCAGUAGCAUAAAGUUCAAAAUUCAUGAAUGAUAAAUUUAUCACAAAAAAAGAAACAAUUUCUACAACUUCAAACUCACCCAGCAAAAAAUAAAAUUUAAAUCUAAAAUUGCAUACCAGGAGGAUCUGGAGAGUUAAUUCAACUAAUAAUAAAGUAAACUUGGAAUGCCAAAGCAAAUUCAACUAAAACCCUGUAGAACCCAGGAAAUAAGAAACGGAAGAGAAUAAAAAAGAAAUAUGAAACAAAAUCAAGGAAACUGAUCGUUGCUAAAGGGUGGAUCUUAAAUAUGUGAUGGGAUGGGGUCCAAGAUUAGAAUAUAUUGCAGUAAGACAUCAUACUUGGGAUGAGAUGAGAUCAAAGAUGGUUGCGCAUCAACCGUUGUCGCUGUCGAGAGAGAGGAGAGAUGAGCAAUAUGUAUAUGGCGGGAAGACGGCGUCGAAAAAUGGAGGAGUUGACGGUUGAGAUGGGCGGAUUGUUCGUCGCUGACGGCUGGAGCGUUUCUGUUUCAAAAAUAAUCUCAACUGAGAGGGGGGAUUUUAGCGAUUAGGGUUGAGAACUUGAGUUGGAGUGCACCGGCUGUAUCGAUACGCCUAAAUUUGGACCUGUGAAACUAGAGAAAAUAAUAUAAUAAUAAUAUCAUUUAUCUUUCCAAAGGCCAAAAACUUAUAAGUAAAAAUUUAAUAAAUUACAGAGAAACUUUAGUAAAUAGAAGAAUAUUAGGUAUGCAAUAAAAAGAUGAGGAAAAUUUUGGAAAAUAUAGUUAGUGGAGAUUUUUUUUUUUUUUUUAUACAAACAAUAAUCUAGUUUUUUUAUUUUUAUAAUCAUUCUAGGCCUACUUUAAUUUUUAUUUUUUAACAGCUAAUAGGAUAUUGGCACAUGAGUUGAUCUAUAGUAUUUUUUUACUACUUUUUGUUAGGUUAUUUUUAAUUUAAAUAUUCACUAGCCUCUUUUCACGCUCUUCUGCUUCUGUGAGAGGCUUUUUUAAAAAAAAAAUUGAAUUUAUUUUAGAAUUAAAAAAGAUAAUGAGUAGUUGUGUUCUAUAAAAAUAGGAUCCAUUAUCUGAUUUUUCUUUUAAUUUUAAUCUUUUUAAUAUGAAAAAAUGUGAAUUUACCAUAUUAUUCUCAUUUAAUUAAUAAUUUCAAUUCUUAAUGUUUGCAUUAAUCAAUGACAUUUUCUGGUAUUUUAAAUAUUUUAUCAUUCUCUACCUUUUGCUUUGUAUAUAUGGAUAUAGAUAAUAAUAAAAUACUCCCUUUCAUUGAGAUAUUGUUAUGCUUAAAAUCGUAUACACACCACAUUGUAUUGAAAUGUUAUAGUGACUAAACUCUUCAAGUAUCUUGCAAUUAUCAGAUAAGGAGUUAGUAAUCACAUAGGAAAAUAUUCAAUUUAUAUGUUUCUGGUUAUAAUAGUCAUGAUGCAUUUCACACCUUUUGCUGGUCUAGUCAAUACUGUUAUACUUCAGAAUUCCAAUAACGCUACGGGCACCAACUUAUUUACCAACUUUUGGAUACCAACACAUGUGGCACAUGACAUGGCAACCCAUGUCAUCUGCCAUCUCAUCUAUUUUAAUUACAAAAUUAACAAAGUGAGAAUGAACAAAAAAUAAUUUUGGUGGAUUAUUAUCGCGUUUGGAGUGAGUUUGGGUGUUUGAUUUGAUUUUGAUUAUUUAAUAAUACUAUUUUGGCCAUUGGAUUUGAUUUUGAGACAUUGGAAUUUUUUUUUUUUUGGUACAGUUGGAUUUGCUCAAAUUAAAUCUUAGCCAUUAUAUAUAACGAUAGAAAUUAAUUGGAAAAGAAAACGAAACAGUAGUUUGAAGGAAGCCGUUGGAUUCCUACGAUCCUUUCAUCCCAGCUCGUUAUGUGUCCUGACAACACGGGCCCCACGUCUUCUCAUCCAUUAAUCCCAACUCAAUGAACUUCCUUUUCAAACCCAACAAAAAAGAAAAAAAAAAAAAAAAGCGAUCUGAUUUGAAUGCACUUCUUUAUCAUGCAUUUUGUCCAGGAUAGGGGACUGAUUUUCCAGGCCAAGUGCGCAAAACAGUAGAGAUUUUAAAAUCAACUUUCCGAACGUAAAAUUAAAGUGGCUCGUUUAUGAAAAAGUUUCCCUCCCAUCUCCUCCUACUUUUCCCUCCUCACUCCCCUAGAAGAAUACCGGUAUAUAUUUUUCAUUUUCGGAAUUUCCAUUUUGUCUCAACUCAAACGUCAUUUGCUCUUGUCAUCCUCCUCCUUCAAUCCAACCCGCAUCCAUUGUUAGCUCGAAUCUUCUAAAACUACUACUUCGUUGUAAUUGGAUAUUAUUGAUUUGAUGGGUAGAGAGCAAGCUUAUGUUGGUGACGAUAUUGAUGAAAGUAAGUUCAAGACUUCGGAAGCAAUGAACCGCUACAAGAUAAUCUUCAGUGUUCAAGCUGUGACGGUUGAGCGGGAGGUCAAAUUGAGUGACUUCGAGGAUCUUGGGCUUCCUAGAAUCUUCAAAUCAAGAGGUUGGCUUUUGGCAAUGGGUCCUUCAGAGCCUACUAAUAUCCAGAUUGUCCAAGAAUUCUACGCAAACAUUCCUCCUUUCUCCGCCGAGCAGAAAACCUCACCUGGGUUGGGCCCUUUUGGUUCUUGUUUGUGGGAUGAGACUCUGCAUUUCUCUAGCGGUCGAGAAUACCCUGACUCAUUUGAUGUGUAUUUGCGAGGUAAGGUGUUAAAUUUCUCUGUUUCUGGCAUUGCCCAGUUACUUAAACUUACUAGGGCAAACCCAAAUGAAAAAUCACCUGGUUUUCCUGGGCUUGUUGUUGAUAAUCUUGACUUGAAGGUGGUGAAAUCUACUUUGGGUUGGAACAAGAGGGUCAGGGUUUUGCGUGAAAAUCGACUGAGUGAUUUGUACAAAGUGCUUAACAGCAUAGUGAGAUAUAAUAUCGAUCCUCCUUGUCACGUUAUCCCUUCUUUGCUUAGCAUUGAUAGAGCUCGCCUUCUUUAUGCCAUUGGGAACAAUGUACCUACUGAUCUGGCCACCUACAUUUUUCGUGCCAUCUGCCGUGCUGCAUUCCCAACUUCCAUGCCCGACUCCCUGCCUUUUACUUCCUUGAUCACACGCUUCGCCAUGGCUUCUCACGUGCCAGUUGAGCCUACGGAUAAGCUUUAUUCUCCUUGGUCGCCUUUGGACAACGUGGAUAUUUUUGGCUAUAGCUUUACUCCAUCUUCUCCGGCAGUCAAGCAACCUCAAGCCGUGGUGAGCCACACGCCCAGUAUGGCCAUACUUACCAAUGGCGUUGCUGAGCACAGGGGUGAUGUGCACCCCGUUUCCACCCACUCGGUCAUCCCACCUUCUUCGAAACAGCCAUCUGCAGGUCAGUCAAAUGUUAAUAGACAGACAUUAACAACAACAAAUGUAAUUUUCCUUAGAUUACACUUGGACAUUCAGCUUAUUACUGUAAAAUGCAUAGGCCCUUAUUGUUUUUAAGUGCAGGUGGUAAAAAUUUCCGAGGGUUUUCGUUGGUAGCAUCAUAGUUAGUAACAGAGUUGAACUUAUAGUAAGCAAUUAGGCAUCAAACAUGGCACGUUUCUGUGAUUAGUACUUAUGUCCUUCAAUUGUGUAUAUAUUGUUUGCAUGGUAAGUGGAAACCUUUAGAAGAUAAGCUCUCUGUUUGAAAUCACAUCUGUAUUCUUUUAAGGUUUGGUGUGAAGGAUAAACCAUGAAGUAGUCUACUAAUGCGAUAAUGGCUCAUAUUUUCACAUUUUCCUGUCUUCGUUGCCUCUGUUCUUGAAAACGUAUAAAGUGAUGGAGAGGUCUUAUUAUUUUUGGAAAAUAUUACAAUGUUCCCACAUCCCUGUAAUCUGUAUUUGACAGUGUACAUUGAUAAUAAAAUGAACGACUCAGAUACUUCAUGUGACAAUGAGGUAUGAACUUCAUCACAUUUUGUCUCUUUAAGGUUAUAAUAGUCACGAUGCAUUUCACACCUUUGCUGGUUUAGUCAAUGCUGUUAUACUUCAGAAUUCAGAUAGAUUAGAAUCAGAUGAUUGCUUUCUCUCUGCUUGUUACCAAAUACUCUGUCAGUUUAAUAUCUUUGUGUGUAAACAAUAUAAGAAAAACGAAUCUUUUCUCUUGUGCUGUUUUUGCUCUCUUUGAUAUUUACUUUCUCUCUGUGCUUGUGCUGAAGAAAUAAUGGAGGCUGAAGAAGAAAAUAACAGCAAUUUGAUUCCUAACUCACAUGCUUGUAUAAAUCCAUUAACUUCAACUUCUGACUCGCAUCCAAAUAAGAAAGUGAAAAAAGAUCCAUUGGAACAUGCAGCUGGUGAGGUGUCAAAGUUACUGCUGAGUGGUUUCAAAGAUACCUAACGUCAGUAGAUUGCAAGUUUUUAAAGCUGUACGCAUAAUAUUGAAUGGUAACCCAGAAGAAUUCUCUCUACUGAUACUCUUCCUGAUGUUGAGAAGACAAAGUGGAUACUCUUACUAAUUAGUCAAUCUGAAGGUAACUUUCUUGAUAAAAAUUGAGCCAAUAGCUCAGGGGAUAUAAAAUAGGUCUUAGACAUAAAGCCACUUAUCAACAUUUACUUUCUCUCAGGAAAAGAAGAAAGUUUGAGAUACGCUAUCCCUUCUGGCCAUGGUAUGGCUCUCUCUCUCUCUCUCUCUCUCUCUCUGUCUCUCUCUGUGUCUCUCUCUCUCUGUCUCUCUCUCUCCCUCUAACUUAAUUUCUAGUUCUGCAUUUGUUGUUUUAAUUUUAUGCUUUUAACAUGUCAAACCAAUACUUCACUCUGUAAGAUUACUACUUAAUAUCUAGAUAGAAGAGAGAUUUGAACUGAAAUAUCCCAAUUGUAAAUCCUUCUACUCCAAAUUAAAGAGAAAAAGAAAAGUAUGAACCAAUUGGACAGAAUAUACUUGCACAUACUCCCUCCUUGAAUGAGUUUCAGUAAGAAAGCUAGUGUAGCCAAUUGGACAGAAUUUACUUGCACAUACUCCCUCCUUUGAUGUAGUUUCCAAGUGCAUCACCUUAUGAUACCUCUUCAUGUUUUCAAUUAGUAUUGGCUUGUGACAUGCCAAUUUUCUGAGCUUUUAGGGUUCAAUUAUGUAGAUAGAAGAGAGAUUUGAACUGAAAUAUCCCAAUUGUAAAUCCUUCUACUCCAAAUUAAAGAGAAAAAGAAAAGUAUGAACCAAUUGGACAGAAUAUACUUGCACAUACUCCCUCCUUGAAUGAGUUUCAGUAAGAAAGCUAGUGUAGCCAAUUGGACAGAAUUUACUUGCACAUACUCCCUCCUUUGAUGUAGUUUCCAAGUGCAUCACCUUAUGAUACCUCUUCAUGUUUUCAAUUAGUAUUGCCUUGUGACAUGCCAAUUUUCUUCAAUGAUUAUAUACAGGGAGCAGAGUGGCCAAUUCUUUCCUUUCAUAAUUCAACAUCUUGUUCUGGGCACAUGGUAGAAGAUGCCUUCUUGUAAACAGACUUUUUGUAUUUGGUCAGGCUUGCAAUGCUCUAUUUUGUGGAUUUUAAGAUUGUAUUAGGCUUACUUGUGAGCUGCAAAAUGCCUUGUACCAAAGUUUAUGUAUAAAAUGUGUGCUAAAUCUUGUGUGUGGAGUACAAGAUUGAAGGUCUUCCUGGAAAAGCAAUCACAAGCAUUUUCUCUUUUCAAUUUGUAGAAAUGUUCAAGUUCUUGCCCAUCACUUGCAGAUAUAUAGUGUUGUGUACCAUAAAGGCUCCAUCAUAUGCAAUUCCAUCAAGGCUUGCAGGCCAAUCACUGCUUUCUCUUGGAUAUUACAAACAUUUGUAGAGCCAUAAUGAAAACUUGGUAGACAAACCCAAAUACGUGCAUUGACCAUUUGCUUAAACUUGAUAGGCUAGCAAGAGCUUGUAGCUCAAGUGGUUAAGAGUAUCUAUCCUUACACUUGAGGUCCUAGAUGUGAUUCCCUCCUCCCAAUAUCGCUUGUAACCAAAAACAAGCAAAAAAACUUGAUAGGCCAGACCCAGAUGAACCUGGUUUUCAUAAACUUGUUUGUCAGCUUGAUAGUGGCUUAUUAGAGUCCAAAUUGGUUGGGAAAGUAAUGUCCACCAGUUUUAGCAGAUACCCUUUGAGACAAUGUUGAACAGAGCACUUCACUUGAUUGUUAAUGACUAGGGCCCCAAGGGUAUGUUCUUGGUAUGUUACCUUAGGCCUAAGAUACUCUGUCUGUCAGAAGAGAAGAAUGGAGAAGAGGGUGAACAGUGCACGAGAUUGCUGGGUUUUUGCAAGUUAGAGAGAUGAAGAAGGUGGAAAAAUAAGGCACAAAUGGGAAGAUAGCUUGCAUUCUUCUUAUUUUUAACAGACUUUUAUAUAUACCCUACAACGUAAACUAGAAAAUAAUUAUAUAAAAUAAUGAAAUUCCAAAACUCUUUUGGAUCUGAAAGUCUAAAGGUUUUCAUUUCUUCAGUUUUCCUCUCACUCUUUGGUUCUCCAUCAAUUUAUUUUUCAUCAUUCUCUCAUCUCAUCCCUCCUUUACAUGUAUGCAAUCAUUGUAUAUUAAAUGAGGAGAAGUGAGGAGAUGAGUAGAGCUGGGUUCAGGGUUGGUGACAAAGAAAAUGAAAUCAAUCAAUGAUGGAGAUAGAUGUCCAAAGAAAAAUAUUUUGAUGAAGUAGAGAAAUUGUAUUUUUGGGAAGAGUUGAGUGUCUAGAGAAUGGUGAGAAUAAAAAUAGAAACCCAUUGAAACACCGAGUGUAAACAGAAUUCUUGGUAAUAUGAAAUUUCUCUUUCACAUUCAAGGAGUCAAAUCACAUGAAAAGUUUAUGAAGGAACUAUGUUGUAACUACUCUUAACAACUUGAGCUAUACGUGUCAAGUUAGAUCUUCAAUAAUGUAGUAACACACUCUUCAAUAAUGUCUCACAAUGUUAGAUCUUUCAUAGUGAAAAUUAAAUUGAAGAGUGAGAAAGUGAUUUCUAAGAGCAACUCCACCGCUCAAGAUUGAGCUAGGGCAAUCAGUGGGUCCCACCAACCUGGGCAGGCCCAAAGGCAAUUCUUGCAUGGGCUUCAGCCCGAGGGCGGUGACAUCAGCGCACGGUAAUUCAAAUUUUUUUUACCGUUGGUGCGUGAAUUACACGCGCCAACAGUAAAAAAAUUUGACUUCCGCGCGCUAACGUCAGCCCUGAUAGACUCUAAUGGCCAUUUGACACGUAUCGCAACCGGGCUUCUCCGAUGAGUUUUUUUCCAGAAAUCCAACGGUCUUUGUUUUUUUGGCUAAAAAAAUUCCAAAAAAAUUCUGAAAUUUUUUUAAAAAAUACCAAAAAAAUUCUGUAUUUUUUUUUCCUAUAAAUACCUAACUAUUUUAUUUACUUUCCACACUAAAUCUUCAUACAAUUUCUUCUCCAUCCAAUAUUUUUUACUCUCCACUCACAUUAUUCACUUCCCACACCAAUUCUCCAUACAAACUCUUCUCCUUCCAAUAUUUUUUACUCUCCACUCACAUUUUUCACUUCCCACACCAAUUCUCCAUACAAAUUCUUCUCCUUCCAAUAUUUUUUACUCUCCACUCACAUUUUUCUACUACUUUCCAUUUGUAAAAAAAAAAAAAAAAACAAAUGGCAUCUUCUGUCGAAACCGGAGGCUCGUGGUCAACUCAGGAAGAUAUUGCAUUGUGUCAGUAUUAGGUGAACGUUAGUAAUGAUCCUAUCACGGGCAAUGAGAUGAAGUUCCAUCAUAUGUGGAGUAAAAUUCAUGGAGAAUUUUGUCAAAGAUCGGGUCCCAUUCGGACCGAAAUAGCCUUGUCUAGUAGAUGGAAACUUCUGAAUAAAGAGUUAGGGAAAUGGAGAAAUGCCUUGACAAAAACAAGGGAGAACAUUCGAAGCGGUCAAAAUCUAUCCGAUGAGGUAAAAUAUUUAUAAUUGUCAUUUUAAUAAAUUUAAUGUAAUUUUUUUUUAUUGCAUAUUCUAUGUCUUUUUGUUGCAUAAUCUUUUUUUUUUCUUUUUGCAUUUCCAAUUUGUCUAUAUUUUCUUGCAUAAUCAAUUUCAUUCUUGCAUUUCAAAAUAGUUUAUAUUUUCUUGCAUAAUAAUUUUUUUUCUUGCACUUCCAAUCAUUUAUUUUUAAUAGAUCAUACAAGCACAAAUGUGGUUCGGUGCCAUGGGGCAAGGCAAAAAAAGUUUCGUGCAUUUCCAAUGUUGGGAAGUUGUGAAAGAUUGUUCAAGAUUCAAAAUUAUUCCCACCGGUCCAACAGUUUUGUUGAAUGAGACGCCGCUUCACGAUUCACCAUCAACCGAUUCGCCAUUGGACUUCCCAAUGGAAACGGAGUCACCACUCCCACGUCCGCCAAGACCUAUUGGGAGAAAGGCGGCAAAGGCCAAGAGAGGGGGCACUUCAAACAAUGAAUGUAUACAAUUAUUGGAGCAAAUAGCUAAGAACACCUCACUAAGAAUUGAGAGAGACUUGAAAAGAGAUGAAGUGGACAAGGCACGAGAGGAAGCAUUUGUAAUUCAACAGCAGCAGGCACAAGACAAAGACAUGGAUGAUAGAGAGAUGAAAAUCAUGGCCAUGGAUACGAGCCAUAUGUCUCCUGAAACCAAGGCCUAUUGAAAGCAUAGACGAAGAGAUGUGAUGAGAAGAAAACUUUUCCAUGACGAUGAACCUAGCAAUACGGAUUGGUUAAAUGAUGAAAACCAUUAAGUUUUAUUGAAACACCUUUGCCAUAUGUUGUAUUGUUGUAUUGUUGUAUUAUCCUUUAAUUUAUUGUAUUGUUUCCUUUUCAUUAAAUAAAAAAAGUAUUAAAUAAUAUGACUAUUUAUUAAAAACAUUUGAGCAUCAAAAUAAAGAUUAAUUAAAAACAAACCUUAAUUUAUUGCAAACAACACACAAAAUAAAUCAUACAUAAAAGCAUAAUAAUAAUAAAAAAGAUAGAGAUGGUGUAGUUUUAUAGAGGGAUUCAGAAGAUAGAAAUGACACGUGGCACAAUUUUAGAGGAUGAAAAUCUUAUCUGAAAUAUGAGAUUAUAAUUUUUAAAAAAUAUCUGAAAAUCUUAUCUAACAGAGAUAACACUUGGCACAAUUUUAGAGGGUGAAAAUCUUAUCUGAAAUAUGAGAUUAUAUUUUUUUUUUAAAUAUCUGAAAAUCUUAUCUGACAUGGGACACGUGACACAAUUUUAGAGGUGAAAAUGUUAUCUGAAAUAUGAGAUUAUAAUUUUUUUUAAUGAAUAUCCGAAAAUUUUAUCUGGAAUAAGACAUGUGGCAACUAAGAUUCUCAUUCGAAAAUCUUUUCUGAAAAAUAAUGGACAUGUGACAGUAAAAAGUAUUAUCCGAAAAUUUAAUUACAAAAGAUUAUCAAAAUUAAUAGUUUAAAGUAUAAAAAAAUAGGAAAUAAAGUACAAUGAAUAGUAUUUACCUUAGACUUGCCCUAGACUUAACCCUCAUGGGUGGAACCACAAAUGGCAAGGCUGCCACUAUUCAUGUGACUAUUCAUGUGAAUAGUCACAGCCCUUGCUUACCCUUGCCCUAGACUUAGCCCUUAUGGGUGGAAUUGCUGUAAAAAGUUAACAUCAAAAGACCCUUAAAAAGUAUGUGAUCAUUCUCAAUAUGGACCCCCAUAUUUCAAUUUCAUUAUUUUACUCCCACGGUUUUCAAAUUUGCUCAAUUUACUUUCCGUCACAUUAACUGCUAACGUGUCUACUGUGAGACACAGCCACUUAUCAAUCCCCAUCCCAUCUAACAUGUAAUAAAACAAAAACUAAAUAUAUGAUAUUAAAAAAAAAGAAAAAAAAAAGAAGAGGCAUAUAGCCUUCCCCAUCACUCUCACCGACGCACAGUCGCACCACCCGAUCCCCCUCCCUUUCUUCGUCCUCUCUCUCUCUCUCUCUCCCUCUCUCCCUCUCUCCGUCCCUUUCUCCCCCAUCCCAUCUUCUCGAGUUCUCUGAUUCCCCCCCCCCUCUUCGCGAUCUACCUCUCCUUCGAGAGGCUUCUCGAGUCCAGGCCCUGCGAUGCCGAUCAGACCUAGCUCAUCGAUCGCUCUCUCCAAUUGGGCUCUGUGCUCCUCGAGGCUGCUAAUCGUUCUGCGAGAAAACCAGCCUCCAAGCACAACUCUCUCACCUGUACUCUCCCCUCAAACCUCCCUCCAAGCACAAUUUGUAUAUAUUGAUAGGGAUGGGGAGCUGGGAGGAUAGUGGGACGGAGAGAGAGAGGGGGGGACGAAGAGAGGGAGAGUGCUCUGGUGGGGAAGAGCCAGGUGCGCCGCUAUCACGAACACAUUCAGACCACGAGCUGACGCAAGUGGAAAUCAUGCUUCUCUGUUUUUCUAGUUCUGUAGUCGCCGCUAAUCAUGCUGCUUUGAUUUUCCAUUGAUGUUUGCUUUGUUACUCUCAAAAAGUUUCCUUCCUUUAUUUUUUAUUUAUUUCGAUAAUGAAAUUUGAAAUUUGAAUUGUGUGUUGCUUUGUUACUCUCAAUAAAUCUUCCUUCUUUUUCUUUUUUCUUACAGGAAUUGGGUUUUGGUGUUUCACCAACGAGCUGACGCCAGAGAGAGAGGGAUGGGGUUGGUGUGGGUGCGAUUGAGGGGUGAACAAGGGGUGCUGGGUUUGUUGGGCUGAGGAAGGGCUGGGAUUUUUUAAGGUAUUUUUAUUUUAUUUUAUUUUAUCACUUUAUAUAAAUUUUUUUAGGAACUGAUUAGUUAGUGGGCGGAUCCCGAUUGCCCAUAUUGAGAAUAACCCCAAAUGUCUUUUGAUGUUAGCUCAUUUCUAAAUUUGUAGAGUGAGGGAGUGACCACAGUUUUGAUAUAUUGGUGUCUAUUUUUAUUGGAGCUGAUUUUGUUUGCCUCACCUUACCAGUGGGUAUAUUCCUGGUAAAUAAUAUUGCAACUCUUGCGCUUUUAGAAAUUGUGUGUAUAGUUUUAGAAAAUGGGUCAUGUAAUUUUAAUAUAAAAUUGCUACAAACUCUUGUCAACCCUGGAAAGUUCAGUCCAAGUGGACGAGACAUGCUCUCUCUUAUUAAAAAUGCUAUACAUGUACACCAUGCUUUUGUCCUCAAAUUUGGACUCGUUAUACAGUAUAGACUACUUUAUUUAUGUACUUGGCUAAGAGUUCGAUUAUUUUCCUCCCCUUUUCUUAAAUGGAAAUCAUCUCUAGUUCUUUUCACCCCUAACAACAUAUGGAACUGCUGAGUUCAUAACUUUUCUAUUGUUUAUCUUUUAUGCAUAAAAUUAUAUCUUGUUUUUUUACUGGGUAAUUCAAAACUUGGAAACUCCUUCGACGACUUUACUAAAAAGGAUUUAGGUUUUUUUUACUAAAAAGUCAGUAUAGUAUGAAUACCUAUUUGAUACGAUGUAGGUUUUUUUUUUUAAUUUAAAAAUUUAUUGAAAGGAUUUUUAAUUAUUUGUAUUGGCACUAUUAAUUUUGCCACAGAAUUCUCAGAGGUUUAGUAAUUUGCUUUUACAAAUACCAUGAUCGUUUUGGGAAAUCUCUCUUUCUGGAGGCAGAUUCCAGAGCCGUUUAAGGGAAAUUCGUAGUCGAGCUACCGAUGUUCAUGAUAAGGAAAAGGGAAUCAAGAUUACUGAGAAGGAUUGGGAAAAGUUGAAUGUACAAUUGCUUCAUACAACAAUUUUCCUACUGCUGCUGGAUUGGCUUCCUCAGCAGCUGGUUUUGCUUGUCUUGGUAACCGAUAAUACCCUAUUUUGGAUCAUAUUAUUGUUAAUUUGUUAUAUGAUUAGUGCCUUAACUUUGAGAACUCAUGACUGUUAAUAAUGUUACUUGGGUACCGGAUUAAUCAUUCUUUGCCAAUAGAUAGUAGUUAAGCAACGAGCAUAUCAUAGCUAAGCCUCUGUUUCUACUUGCAGUUUUUGCCCUCGCAAAGUUAAUGAAUGCGAAUGAAGAUCACAGCCAGCUUUCUGCUACUGGAAUCAAUCUGAGAUUUUAAUAAGCCAUCGCAAUCUGACUAAGUUUUACAGAAUACUUAACACAAUAGUAAGUGCUGAUAUCGACCCUGAAGAACGUCUCCUUGACAGUAGCUUAAUUGAUUUUGACAGAGCAAGCCUCCUUUAUGCCAUUGGGAAUAAUAAUGCGUCCAUUGAUCAGCCCGCCCACAUUUUCCGAGCCAUUUGCCUGGCUGCAACCCCAGACGACUACUACGAAACUCAUUCCCUGCCUUUUGGGUCGUUGAUCACUAGGUUUGCCAUGGCGUCUAAAGUGCGAAUUGAUCCUACGGAUCAGCUUAAACAACUUAUGCCACCUAUCAACUAGAUGAUGUUUCAUAAUGAUCAGACAGAUGAAACAAGUGAAGAAUCUGUUGUUGGAUUUACUCCUCCUCCUGCACCUGCUUCGGAGCCAAGUCCUCCACAGCUUAAUCAGCCUCCUCUGUCCCAGACAAAAAGCUUUGAGAAGUUUUCUAUAAAGCUGAGAAAGCGCAUGGCCCGACUUGCCAAUGAGGUCGUUAAGCUCACCGGUUGCGUACAUUGGGGCAUCCCAUUGAAAGAGCCAUUUACAGGUCAUUCUAAUGUUGAGCUUGCUUUAGUUUAUAUGUGUUUUUGUCCUUUUCAGCUUUGUUAAACCCUGUCUUCAACUUUCAUUUCUAAUCCAUUGAUUAUCUAUGAGUUGUUAGGCUUUUGUUUCCAUUUGUUUAUUCAGUUGUUCUUCUUUUAUACCCUCUCAUUUGUUUCUGCUCCUCUGUCUUAUGAUUUUCCACUUCCACUUAUCACUCCCUUGUCAUACACACUUGCAGUACAAGAUAAAUAGAAUCUGAAGUUUGCCUUGUUCUGGAUGAUAAAUAGAAUUCUAUUUAGUUAUAUAUUUUCAAAGAUACAAGUUAAAUAAAGACGAUGUAGCGAGCACCAUAAGCUUCAAAAGAAUUUUCCUAGUUCUAGGCUUAAGUAUAUUUUUUAUCUAAAGGACCUCUGAGUUGACUGCAGGAACUGAUUCAGCCUAAUACUGUAAAAGAAUUGUCCCUUGAAUAUCUUUUUAUGUACAGCUGGUAAGAAAAUUUUCGGGUUUUUACUGGUGGAAGGAAAGUAAUAAACUUGAAGUUAGCAACUAGCACUGAAUGCUUCUGUGGUUAGUGAUUUAGUAUUAAAGAGAAGCUCUGUUUCUGAUCAUAUAUGUAAGAUUGAUUUUGAUUGCAUUAAUUAGUAAAAAAGAUAAGCUCUGUUUCAGAUCAUAUAUGUAUUCUUUUAGUCAACUAAUGAGAUGGGGUGGUUAACAUUUAUUUAAGUGUGACUGGAACAGUUUUGAGUGAUGAAUUUUCCUAUUUUCACUAGGGAGCUGCCUUUGAAUUUGAUAUUUUCGGGAGUGAUUCGAUGCUUUUCUCUCGUUUGAAAACUUAACAAAAUUAAAUAUUCACAAUAUUCCCCAUCGUCUGUAUAAUAAAAAUGAAACUGCUUCUACAUGUGAUUAUGAACUCCAACACAUCUUGUGUCCUUGUGGUUGUAAUAGUCAGCAGUUAAUGCACUUCUUUGCUGCUUUAGUGGAUGUUUUUUAUGCUUUACUUUCUCUCUGUUAUUGUGCUGAAGAAAAUAUGGAGGUUAAACAAGAAAAUGAUGAGAAUUUUAUUCCCAACUCACAUACUUCGACACAUCUAUCAACUUCAAUUUCUGGCUUGCAUCCAAAUAAGAAAGCGAAAAAACAUCCAUUGGCACAAGCAAUUGGUGAGGCGGCAGACUCACAAAAGGAGUUUUCGGCAAGUCAAAUGAACCGCAACUCAGAGGAGAGGAUGUACUUGCAGUGGUCUCAAAGAUACCGAACUUCAGUAGAUUGCAAGUUUUGAAGGCCGUACACAUGUUAUUGAAUACUGCUUAUUAGUAAAUCCUGGGUCUAACUUUCUUGAUAAAUGAUGCUGAGUGAGCCAAUUAUUUCUCAGGGGUUUAAACUUUUGCAUAGAGAGACACUUAUCAGCAUUUACUCUCUCUCUCUCUCUCUCUCUCUCAUUAAUCCAGUAUUAGGAGUGAUCUUGCUUUUUAUUCUUUUCAUAUACAAUAUUAUUGAUAUCCUUUUAUGUCCUUUUACACACACUGAGCUUCUUGACAUGUUCUGGGCUUUUAAUCAUGCUUCAAAGACAUACUUUAAAUCCAUUUAUAUAUCUUCUUUAUCUAUUUAUUUCUCUUGUUUGAGAGGAGGUAUUAUUUCUCUUGUUCAUUAUACUAAUGUAAUUUACACGGAAAGGGGUUUGAACUUCGGUGUAAGGGGUAAGCUCACCAUCUUAUCCAAUUAGCCUAACCGCAUUUGCAGAUGUAUACAAAUACAAUGAUAUAGUCCAAACUACUCUAAAUCUAAACUACUAGGGCAUGUUUGGUAGGGUUCACUAGAUAGGACUAUGCUAAAUUGAACCUGAAACCCAUGUUUGGAUAGAAAGGGGACUAAUUUAAAUGGGAUUGUAGAGCCCAACAGUAACAAAAACCCCUCACUCGUUCUCCUUAUACAGAGAAGCUGAAAAUGGGUUCACAAAAUAAGCGCUUCGUUAUAUUGAACACGCGACAACGCCUCUCUCUCUAGUUCUUGACUUCGCCCUCUAUCUAGUUCGCGACUCGACCUCUUCUUUGUUCAACAUCGACUCCUCUUCUUCGAAUCUUGACCCAGGCAAGUUUUUCUGGUCUUUCCCUUUGGAUACCUCUCUUUUCCUUCUUCCACCUCUUUGAUUUUUGCAAUUGUCCUCAACAAUUUUGACUCUGUGCUCUGAAUCUCUCCUUCCUUUUCUCUGUUUUUUGUUAUUCUUUUCUCUAAUUUUCGUAGAAUCCAUAUCUACUGUAGCGACAUAUAUAUAUUUGAUGUUAAUUGACAAUUAAUUUGCAAUGGGUAUUUAAGAAAGCCUAGAAAUUCAGAAUCUUGAGUUUAGAGUAGACUUUUGGCAUGAAUCUUGAGUUUAUUGAACUUACUGGUUCAUGUGGGAUGAUGCAUCUUUGUGGUUUCAGUUUUUAAAUAAGAUGCUCUCCUUUCAUCUUAUUUAAUCUGAAUAAAAAUAAGAUGUUUCUUUUCUGAUGUACGCAAUUCAUACCAGUCUCAUGUGUGACUAUAUUCAAUAGGAUUUGAGACAUGAUGACUAAACCUUCUGAAUAUCUUUCUAUGGCACUUGGUGGCUGGACUGAGGAUUUCUUGUAUUUUCAUGAGUUGUAUUCAUUGGAGACUUUUAAUAGGUACCUUAACAUGUAAAAUGGCUGCAUCUUGCCUACCAUCAUCUACUUUCAGACACCACAUAUAUAAUCUCACAGUUGAGGUGUAAGUUUUGAAGUGGAGCCUCAACUUAGGCUCUCUGUUAGAACGUCUCCUUUAAGUUCUCAUUUUGGGUAAAUGAGAUUCUGUAUUCACUCUAACUGUAUUCAAUUAGAUUAACUAACAUAAGAAUGUCUCUACCCUUUUUUUCUUUCUUUUUUAUAUUUUCCCUAUUUCCCCAUGGUCAUAAUUUACAGGCCUUUGUCUUAACUCUGGCACUACCUAGGUCUGCCAAUUUUCUUUUUUCUUGGUUGGUGAUUUAGUGCUAAAAGAUUACACAGAGGAAGAUUAGUAUUUGUUUUAUGCUUGCUGUUGAGUUUCUUUUGUAGCUAUGAGGUUGCCAUUUCUUAUAAAAUUUUUGCCAAAAAGUCAUACUAGGUUACCAUUUGGAUAGAAGGUACAUCAAAUCUUGAUUUGGGCCUUUUUGUUUGCUCAUGUCAUUGUGGUAAUGUUAUAGGUAGCUGGUGUGAAAUUAAAAAGAAAAAAACAGAGUUUGCAUUGCUAUUUUAUUAUUCAGCAUUCCAUCAGUUGUUUUAUGCUUGCUGUGGAGUUUCUUUUGUAGCUAUGGGGUUGCCAUUUCUUAUAAAAAUUUUGCCAAAGGUUACCAUUUGGAUAGAAGGUACAGCAAAUCUUGAUUUGGGCCUUUUUGUUUGCUCAUGUCAUUGUGGUAAUAUUAUAGGUAGAUAGAAUCUAACAAUUCUUUACAGUUGACUCUGGUGUGAAAUUAAAAAGAAAAAAAACACAGUUUGCAUUGCUAUUUUAUUGUUCAGCAUUCCAUCAGUGAUGGGCAGCUUGCAACUUUCUUUUAGUGAUUGGCAUGGGCAAAGUCCUUCUAAUGUCCUCUCACCACAUGUGGACAUUAUACCAGUAGAGCAAUUUCUCCUUUAUAUGAGAUAGAGAGACCAAUUACUCAAAAAUGAAUAAAAUACCAACAACAAAUUAAAGAAAACAGAGCAUCUGACACUGUUGGCCAUGUCAAAGCAAAGUCAUGCUAUGUUUUUUCUUUUUGUUUGGAGAAAGAUAUGUAGUUUUGGAGUUUGCAAUUGUGACAAAUCCCCUGUGAUUGAUUGUAUCUGUCAUUUGACAGAGCAAUUUGCGUCCUACAUGAGUAUCAAUUGAUUUUGGUCUCUCAAAUAAGAAAAUGCAAUAAAUAACAUGGUGUUCAUUAGCAGCAGCAGCAUCUUUUGGCCAAAAGUGAAAUAAUUCUGCGAUUUUUUUCUUCAUAUUUGUUGUGGUAUUAGGCACACGUUGGUUGAUAAUUUGGUCCAUUUGGGGCAAAUUUUCCAUACUUUGCAAUGGUAUUAAUUAUGGCUUUGUAGUAAUUGUUCUGUUUCAUAGAAACAUAUGAAACUGUUCGUUUUCAAUUUUUGGGGUUAUUUCACUUUCAAUAGAAUUGGUUAAGUGCAAUAAUUCUUUUCUUUUUUGAUUAAUAGAUAUGGAUCAUGCUUAGAAACAAAGUUACGCUUUUUUGGCAGAUUCCAAUUAUUGAUUAUGGUAUUAUUUUAUUUGUGCUGAUUAUUCUUAGGAAAGGAAAAUAAAGGUAACAGUCAAAACUUCGAACAAGGAAGAAAGGGACUAGGCGGUCAUGGUCCACAAAAUACAUCUAUAUUCAUGUCUUUGGAUGAUGAUAUCAAGAAAGUGUUUGUUGAGCAGUUGCUUAGUGACAAUGCUUGAGGACAUGGCCUAGCUAAAUUUAAUGCAUCUAUCUUUUUGGAAACACCAAAAAUGAUGCAUUGAUAAGAUUGGCUUCAUUUUGGAAACACCACAAAUUGUAUAACAUAUUGCUAGCAUUAAAGCCAAAUGGUUCAUGGUUGUGAGGUUUAUUAGUUCAUUUUGAAAUUGUGGAUGUUUAUUUGUAUGUAUUAAUGGUAGAAUUGUGUGUAGUGAACUGGACUUCUAAUUUCUGAGUAAUGUAGAUGACUUUGGCAUAUAUGAAGAAUUUCUAACUUUUGCAUAUAUGAAAUGUAUAUGUCAAUUUGGUUUGGAGAAAAAGAAAUGUAUAUGACAAUUUGGUAAUUCUAAUAACAAAAAAAACUUACAUUUAAUUAUUUAAAAAUAUUAUUUUUAAAUAUAAAAUAAUUAUUUUUUAGUCCUACAUAGCACCAAACAUAGGUCUUCGCUAUUUUUACAAUCCAGCUUUUUAGUCCGACACAGCACCAAACGUAUGUCAGUACUUAAUCCAGCUUAGUCCAAUCUGAGCUAAUCCAAGAUAAUCCUAGGAUUUAGUCCAGUCCAUGACAGUCCGCCGUACCAAACGACCCCCUAUAUUACUUUCCUUCUAUAGUCAAUAUAUAUGACUUUUGCCCUUCAAACUAAUUAUGUCUUACCUACAAUCCAUUAUUUUAUCUACUAUAUUACUUUCCUUCUAUAGUCAAUAUAUAUGACUUUUGCCCUUCAAACUAAUUAUGUCUUACCUACAAUCCAUUAUUUUAUUUUAUUUAUAAAUAAAACCCAAUGAUUGGAUCCGACUCAUCAAUUUACCUAAUUAAAUUUAAAAUUUUGAUUUAUUGUACUUUUUUUAGAUUAAAAAUAAUAAUUAUGGAUAAUUAAUCUACCUAUGCAAUCUCGGCAAAUUCUUAUACCUACAAAAUAUAGGUAAAUUGGUACCCUUUUUUAAUUUUAUAAAUAACGUGCCUAUUUUUUCAUAACUAAUGUACCUAUUUAUUUUAUAGAACUAAUUCAAUAGCAACGUUUUUUUAAAAUAUAGAAAUAAUGUACCUAUUUUCUUAUAAUUAAUGUACCUUUUUUUCUUUAAAAAUAUUUACGUAUUCAGAAUCUCGCCCCUAUUCUGACUGAGAAUUGCUCCUCAAUCAAUCAAUAUGCAUCUCACCACCCAAGCUCUCUUUCUUCACUGGGACCGUGUUUUGUUCUUUAUUUAUUUUUAUUUUUUUUUCAUUUUAGUUGUUGUUUAAUUUUUAAACUUGUGUUUUUUAAUAACCAUUAUAUUAUCAUUUAUAUCCAAGGGCGAAUGACCACAAAUUCCUUGGACCACAGGAGUUCAGAAGAACGGGACCGAGUAAUUCAUAUACUAAUCAUUUAUCGAGCAACAAAACAAAUCAAAUCAAAGAAUCAGAAUGCAAAAUGAAGGAAGCUGCUCCGAAACUCUAUGAUCAGAUAUCCAACACUAAAUCUACUUAAGUGUUUCGUGAUCAUCACUAUAAUAAGAGAAACUUUCGUGUGUAAUUGUAAGACCCCAUGUUUAACCUAAAUUAUAGGGGCAUUUCAAAAUAGACUUGGUCAAUAACCAAACUCUCAUAUUAUAGUUGUUGAAUAAAAACCCAUUAUUCAUUUAUUAGUAUCAAUAAAUAUAUAGGCAUUAUAUUAAUAUUAGGUUGAGUAGAGAUAUUUCCACAUGUUUCACUUAAGUCAAGUUCACAUUUGCAAAAAGAUAUUUGUAACUUGUGCCCAGGGGAUGGGAUGCAAAGCCAUUGAUUGAGUGGACACGGGAAGGCACCUUACCAAGUCAAGUCAAGUCAAUACCUGCAAGUCAGUUGGAGCACGCGUUGAAGGGCACCAUAUCAAGUCACAAGUCUUCAUUUAUCUUUUUCCACAUAGUGACAUGAAUUAAAGUGGUGAGUCUCUCUUCCUUUUGUUCACCCGUGUCCUUCAUAUUCACUUUUCAGUCUUUCAUUUGAAAACACUACAAUAGCACACUUUCCAAAGAGAUUCCCAAGCAGCUUAUUGGCCUUUCGAGUUCGGGGAAAUUAGCAAGUGGAAAAAUAAUUUUCCGGAGCUUUGUCUCUACGACAAGUUGGCUUUCCAAAAAAUCGAAAAGACUUUACAGUCUUUUUGUGUGAGUCAGUCAUCAUGAGUUUGCAUACGAAGACUUCAAAGUCUCCUUGAUGAUAGUCGUCCACAGCAAGCUCCCAACGUUAUAAAUUACUAAGAUGGACAAAUGCUCAAUAAAAUUUAAUUAGGAUAAUUAGUUGAUUUAAGGAAUAUCUCUUUUUCUGGUGUCAUUUUUUAUUGACCGGAGAAAUAUGUGUAUCCGCAUAUCCUACAUUGAUUGUCUUAGUAAUUUCCUUUGCAUCUAAAAAAAAUUUAUUUAACCCUAAAAAAAAAAUAUUACUCCAUCUUGAAAUGUUUCCCCUUAACCUUUGCCACACUAAUCACAAAGUAUACUAGUAAAUGUUUCAAACCACGUAGGAUAAUUUUUUGGGAGAUUCACUAUUAUACCCAAUAUAAGAGUUCAAAUUUUUUUUUUAAAAAAAACCUAUAUGAAAUGGGCUUUAGAACACACCCAAAACCCAUUUACAACAUAACAAAAAAGCUUUUAACUUCUUUUAAAGUACAAAACUGUCAUUGAUUUCUUAAAACAAACUCAACCCAAAAACCUCAUAAAAAAGCUUAAAACACUCAAUAGGGUAUCAAAGUAAUUUAAUAAUCAAAAUUAAAUUAAAUAGAUCCGGCUGUCAUUUUUUGAGUUUAUUUACAAAAAUUAAAUGGUGUGGGGUUAAUUUAUAAUUUUAGUGCUAAGAAUGGGUAAAUAUUUAUAAUUUUUUCAAGCAUUAUUGUAGAGAUAGCAAUAUAGUGCUAUUCCCGUUACAAAAAAAUAUUUUUCCUUUUGAAUGAUACAUUCAUAUGUAUUUGAAAUUGAACCUACAUACACAGGGUGGUUGUCCACAUGGCAUGGUAUGAGAGCAUCAUUGAGCUAUGUCACUAUUCAGCAAAACAGUAUGUUGUGUCACCGAGCGUACACAAUUCUUUUUAUAUUAAAAAAUUAACCAAAAUUUUAAAAAUAGUAUUUUUAUUUUAUUGAAAUUAAAAAAUAGUAGUAUGAACACUACAUCUAUCAUCCUCCUUUUUCCAACAAAAGAAAUCUUAGUAGAUCUUUCUCUGCAAACUCUUCAUCAUUUCUAACUAGUCUAAUCGAACAGUCAACACCUACUUGACGUGUGGUUGUGGAGACUUAAAAGCCUUUGAAAAUUUUACUCCUUUAUAUGGUUUUGUCUUAUAUGAAUGUGUGGCACUGUUUUAGCUAAACCAUGUUUUUCUUUGUAAAAGUUUUCUUCCUUUUUUCCUAUAUAUAUAGUUAGUGUGUAAUUAUAAGACCCUAUAUAAUAUUAACCUAAAUUAUGGGGGCAUUUCAAAAUUGACUUGGUCAAUAACCAAAGUGUUUUGAAAAGCUCUCGUAUUAUAGUUGUUGAAUUAAAACCCAAUUUUCAUUUAUUAGUAUCAAUAAAUAUAUAGGUAUUAUAUUAAUAUUGGGUUGGCAAGAGAUAUUUCCAUAUGUUUCACUUAAGUCAACCUCACAUUUGCAAGAAGAUAUUUAUAACUUGUGCCCGGGGGAGGGAUGCAAAACCAAUGGUUGAGUGGACACUGGAAGGCACCUUACCAAGUCAAGUCAAGUCAAUAUCUGCAAGUCAGUUGGAGUACGCGUUGGACGGCAAAUCACCAUAUGCAGUUUAUGUCACAAGUCUUCAAUCUCAUAUAUUAAUUUCUCCAAUGUUCAUUAAUUUACUACUUGUUUACUUGGACUACUGACAAAUUUUUCUUCAAAUAUCUUUUUCCACAUAUCGACUUGAAUUAAAGUGAUGAGUCUCUCUUCCUUUUGUUCACCCGUGUCCAUAUUCACUUUUCAAUCUUUCAUUUGAAAACACUACAAUGGCACACUUUCCAAAGAGAUUCCCAAGCAGCUUAUUGGCCUUCCAAGUUUGGGGAAAUUAGCGAGUGGAAAAAAAAUUUCCGAAGCUUUGUUUCUUCGACCAGUUGGCUUUUCAAAGAAAGAAAAAACAUAAAAAUGGUAAAAUAAAGUAAUUGAGCAAUUAAAAAAGCAAAAAGAAAAAAAAAAGGAAUUACCGUUUGUUGACGUUUGAGUUAAAUGUGUAUGUGCAACGACUUAAAACUCUAGUUUACACUCUUUGUGGAACCAAAAAAUUGAAAAGGCUUACCAGUCUUUGUGUGUGUCAGUCAUCAUGAGUUUGCAUACGAAGACUUCAAUGUCUACUUGAAGAUAGCUGUCCACAGCAAGCUCCCUACCCAAAGUUACAAAUUACUAAGACGGACCAAUGCUCAAUAUGACAGGACCCACCCUGAAUUUCUCGGAACUUGAGACGAAUCCUGUGAAAAACUAGUACAUCCCUCCAAUGUCAUGCCCACUUACCAAAACUAUAGCCUCUUUUCCAAAUUAAGGAAAAAAGGUACGAGACUUUUUGCCAAAAUUUCGGCAGAGUCUCCCCUGUAAAUUGGACUUUCUCCAAAUUUUUUUAACCUAUUAAAAAUACAAUUAACAUCCACAACUAGUAGCAUGCACAACUAGUAGCAUGCACAAUUUAACCUUUAAGCAGUUUACGAACUAGGCCUCUGGCCUUUAACAAUUCAGUCAGUUGGGGCACGCGUUGGAAGACAAAUCACCACAUUAAGUCUAAGUCAAUAGUUGCGUUGAAAGGCAAAUCACCAUAUCAAGUCGAAGUCACAAGUCUUCGCGAUCUCAUCCAUUAAUUUCCCCAAUAUUCAUUGAUUUAUUACAUGUUUACUUGGACCACUGACAAUUUUUUCUUCCAUUAUCUUUUUCCACAUAGUAACAUGAAUAAGAGUUGGUUGUACCUUGUACAUUUUUUUUCUCCUUCUUUUUUGAAAUUUGGUAUAGUCCAGUUCUGAUGACAUAAGUGAAAUUGAACCUAUAUCUAAGAGCUCCUUUCAAAGAAAAAACAUAAAAAUGGUAAAAUAAUGUAAUUGAGCAAUUAAAAAAGCAAAAGGGAAAAAAAAGGAAUUACCAUUUGUUGACGUUUGAGUUAAAUGCGAAUGUGCGAAGACUUAAAAGUCUAGUUUCCACUCAAGUAUGUGGACUUAAUAGUCUUUUUGUGGAACCAGAAAAUUGAAAAGACUUUACAAUCUUUUUGUGUGAGUCAAUCAUCAUGAGUUUGCAUACGAAGACUUCAAAGUCUACUUGAAGAUAGGUCCACAGCAAGCUCCUUGCCCAACGUUACAAAUUACUAAGAUGGACCAAUGCUAAAUAGGAUUUAAUUACGAUAAUUAGUUUAUUUAAGGAAUACCUCUUUUUCACGUGUUAUUUUUUUAUUGACCGGUGAAAUAUGUGUUUCCAUAGAUCCCGCAUUGAUUGUCCUAGUAAUUUCCUUUGCAUCUAAAGAAAAUGUAUUUAACCCUAAAAAAAAUGUUACUCCAUCUUGAGACGUUUCCCCUUAAACUUGUUUGCCACACUAAUCACAAGGUAUACUAGUAAAUGUUUCAAACCACCUAGGAUAAUGUUUUCAAGCAUUAGGAGAUAGCAAAAUAAUGUUAUUCAUGUUAUAAGAAAUAUUUUUCCUUUUUGAAUGAUACAUUCAAAUGUAUUUGAAAUGGAAUCUACAUAUACGGGGUGGUUGUUCACAUGGCAUGGUAUGAGAGCAUCAUUGAGCUAUGUCACUAUACAACAAAACAGUAUGCUAUGUCACCCAAUGUACUCAAUUCUUUUUAUAUUAAAAAAUUAACCAAAAUUUUAAAAAUAGUACUUUUAUUUUAUCGAAAUUAAAAAAUAGUACUUGUAUUCCUGCAUCUUACUUUUUAACUCAUGCAUCAUAAUUAAUUUGGAAUCUAAAGUACUUAAUUUAAUUACCUCCAUAAUAAAGAGAUUCGAAUCUAAAGUGUUGAUGCUCAAAAUGGCCCGGCCAAUAUUGAGUCCAACUUAGUGAUUAGAUGUGCUGAGUCUUCAGCAGAGAAGAGGGCUGAGGCCCUUGGUGAAAUGGGUUGGUGAGAGACCUGUAGAAGGUAAAAAGAGGAGAAGCAAUCGUCAAGCUUCGGACACCGGUGUGGUGCCGGCCGAAGGCUCUCCGAUGCCUAAGUCAAUUACAAGUAGUAAUUCUGGCAGAGUAACAGUAAAAGUGGGAGAGUAGUUCUCUGUUUUACUUGGGUACUGUUCCCUAUUUAUAGGGAAGUGAAAGUGGGAGCUUUGCACAAAGUUCCAAUGUGGGACUUUGUGCAAGCCGUUGUGGUGACGACACGUGUCCUGGAGAUUAGGUUUGGCAGCUGAGAGCUUCGGCAGGUGUCUGGCACCUCGGAAGUGUGUCUUCCUUCGGCAUGGGAGAAGGCGUGGCUGCCUUGGUGCUAGUCGCUUUGAUGCUGGGUCUGCUCGGUUCAUUAUGGUGUAAACAGUAGUCCCCCAAGUUCGCGGUCGAGAAGUAACUUCUGGGUUGGGAACUUGUGAGUUUUUGUAAUUGUAACCGAGCAUUCCAGCUUCAUUGGGAGUCGCAGGGCACUCCCUAGUCCCCCAAGUUGGCAAGCUAGGAGUUGCGUCAACACAUGGUAGCUGGGUACCUGGGUACUUGGGCAUGUUGCAGAUAGGAUGGGAGCUGGGUCCCUAGGGGAGCCAGACCUUCGAGGGAGCCGGGUACUUUGAAAAUUUUGGAGACUCCAAUUCUUUCAUGGCUCCUGCCGUGCGGCAAGGGUCUAGCUCACUUUUUUUUUUUUUUGGGAAUGGCCGGGCCAUUUGGGAUUUUUGGACCUCCCCACAAAGCCUCCAUGGCCCUUGCCGUUCGGCAAGGGUCUAAAUUAUUAUUAUUAUUUUUUUUUUUUUUUUUGCAAAUUUUUUUUUUUUUUUUUUUGGGAAUGGGAGCUAGGCCAUUUUGGAUUGGGCCUUCCACAGCUUCUCCAUGGCCCUUGCCGUUCAGCAAGGGUGUAGCCAUUUUUUUUUGUUUUGGAUGGCUUGGGAGCUAGGCCUUCAAGAGAGCCGGGUCGUUUUGAAAAUUUUCGACUCUCCAAAAUGUCUCCAUGGCCCUUGCCGUUCGGCAGGGGUCUAGCUAUUUUUUGGAUUGGGAGCUAGGCCGUGUUGAGAGAGAUUGAAGGCUUAGCUUGGAUUGGGCCUUCGGCAAGUAAGAAAGGCUUGAGUUUGGCCAAAGUGGGCUUCGGCAUGUAAGAAGGCUAGGGUUUGGCCAAAGUGGGCUUCGGCAUGUAAGAAGGCUAGGGUUUUGAUAGGGGUAUAAAAAUGGGAUGAUGGUGAUGCCGUUCGGCAAGGAUCCAUUCGGCAGGUUGAGGUAGAACAAAAUUUUUUUUGAAAUCCAAACUUGCCGUUCGGCAAGUUCUUGGAGUCCCGGUCUUGGAGUCACGGCUGUGGAGUUGCUGUCCGAGGGCUCUGCAGGUGGCUGAGCUUCGGCAGGGCAGCUGGAGUUCUUGGGGGCUGAGCUUCGGCGGCAGCACGGGGGUUGUAGAACCUUCGGCAGGGUCUGGUCGAGGUGCAGUUGAGGUGCUGCGGAGAUCGAAGUGGAGCUGCGACUGAUCUUGCCGUUCGGACGAAGGGGCUGGGCAGUUGUCUAGGCAGGCUGUGCGGCGCAGCAGCUUCGGCAAGGGCUUUGCCGAUAAGACAGCUGCUGGACAAGUGGAUUGGGUGCUGGCCGAGGGGGCUGGGAAGUUGAUUCGGCAGGCGGCAGCGAGGCUGUGCUGUCCGAGGAGGUUGAAGAGCUUCCGACUGGGCUUGCCGUUCGGCAAGGGACUUGGCAGCGGCCAAGGUGUCCAGCGGUUGGAGGCUUCGGCAGGGUUUCGUCGCGGCAGCUGGUUCUGCCAGCUGGGAGAGGUGCUUGGCCAGGUCGUGUGCUUCGGUAUGUCCUCCUUUCCCUCUGAUUUCAUUCUUGCAUAGCCCUUGCCGUUCGGCAAGGGUGCCCUGAGCUGAUUUUUAUUUUUAUUGAUCGUUGUGUUUGAUCAAAGGUGAUAGGCCCGAGCAAAAUUGGAGCUAGGCCAUUGGCACGAGCGCGGCCAAAAAUAACUUGGCUGAAAAAGUAGCUGGGCCGAAAAUAGUUGGGUGUGGAGAGUAUUUUGACCGAAAAGGUGAGUCCCCCCUUUGUUGUUUCUCGGGCCUUGCCGUUCGGCAAGCCCAUUUAUAUUAUGUGGUGGAAUUGGCUUGGGUGUCUUGAUCAAAUUUGGGCCUAGCCUUGUAGUAGGUUUGGGCUUAUGGAGUAGGCUAGCAAACUUGAAAUUUGGGACUCCAUUUUGUUUUUGCACGGGCCUUGCCGUUCGGCAAGGCCCCUAUUUCCCUCAAAAUUUUUGUGUUGGUUAUUGUGUAGUUUGAAAAUUGAAUUCAAAUGUACCUUUAGGAGGGAAUAUGAAAGGGUACUAGGGUUUGCUCGUGAAAUUGAGGCGUGGUACCCUUAGUUGGCUAUAAAAAGGAACUUGGGUGGUGAAGGCAUCACACUUGGCUUGAGUUGAGAAAAAUUGUGAGAAUUUUGAGGAGGAGGAGAAGAGAUUUCCGGCGAAGGUUUUGUGGUGGUGCUUGUGGCUGAGGUGAUUUCCGGGGACUUGUACGUGGUGGUACGAACAAGGUUAGACCUUAUUUCGCUUGAACUUUUGAAUUGAAAUGUCUUGUUUUGCAUGAACAUGUUGAAGGUUAGGAAGAACACAUUGAACAUGAGCAUGAACAUGAUGAACAUGUUGAACAUAUGUAUGAACAUGUAGAAUUCUUGCCUGGCAUGAAGAUUUGGCAAAUUGUUGUUGUUGUGGUUCGAUCCUCUCUGCAUGUGCAUUUAGUUCCUUCUCUUGUUUUUCCAUACUUGUAGAUGUCUGAAAGUUCUGAUAGGGAAAGUCUUGACCCCCCUGCCUUCGGCGGGGAUGAUACUGAGAGUCAAGAGCCGAGUCAAUAUAUAUGUUCUGAAGAGGAAAGUUCAGAGACAGAGGGUAUGGUGGAAGGAACCAUAGAAAGUAGGAUGAUAGGGCCUGGGGGUGAGAGGGCUGAGCCAUCGGGAGACUCUGGGUCGGCUGCAUAUAGGGAGAUGCAGAGAAAUUAUAUAGAGUUAGAGGCUAUAGCAAAUCGGGUUCUAGCCUUGCCUCAGACGCAAGAAGUGGGUUCGAGCAACCAGGCAUCACCAUCAGGGUCUGUGGGUAUAGCCGUGGCUUCGGUGUCAGAGGGAUUAGACAUCCGGGUUGGUGUCCCGUUGCCGAGGCGGAAUACACUUACAGAAGCGAAAUUGGCCCAGCUACGAACAGAUUUUUGUGUGCCAGCCUAUGUGGGCUUGAGGUUACCCACGGAGGUUGAUGUAGUCAGAUAUCCUUCGGAUGGCUCCGUGAUGAUUUUUACAGAUAUGUAUCGGCAUGGCUUCAGACUACCGUUUCAUCCGUGGGUUCAGAUGAUGUUGGCCAAGUUGGGGUAUGCACCGGGGCAGUAUAAUCCCAACUUUUGGAUUCUUCUUCAUGGGGUGUAUAUCGCCUGGUGGUUGGCUGGGUUAGGGGAGCCAACGUUUGAGCAGUUCAUGUACCUGUACUCCAUUUCGAAGCAACAGGGGAAUUUUGGCUGGGUACAGGCCAAUUGCCGAAAGGCGAAGGAGAGGGGCUAUUUUAUUGGACACAAGCCCACAACGCAAAAGUCCUGGAGGAACAGGUGGUGCUUGGCCUAUGGGGACUGGGAAUGUCCUCCAGGGAAGAGCGUUGUCCAGCACAUUCCUACCCACUUCCAGUCUAUAGGUCCUUGCCCCAUCCCUUAAGAUUGUCAAAUGCCUGAUUGUGUUGUUUUGGCUCCUAUUUUUGGUUCUGUACUUCCUUUGUGCCAGUGUAAAUGGCUAAGUAGUUUCUAACUCUUGAUGCAGGUUCAGUGAAGUGGGGCCCUAUCUCCAAGGAGCAAGAAGACGAAGUUGAGUGGGUGAGGGCGCAGCUAUCAGAGACUGAGCGUGAGUGCGGGAACCUAGUCACGCAGAAGAAUUUGUUUGAGUCCGGACUGCUGCAAGGAAGUAAGUACCUGGGUUAUCUUUUUGUUGUGUGCUAAGCCUGUUGUAAGUUUGAGUAAUAGAGUUGCUUUGUUUGUUUUGACAGUGGCUGGCAUCAUAAGGGGGAGCACGAAGGUGGCCGUAGACAUUGAUGAGGCCGAGAUGCAGAAGCGGCUGAGGGAGUCUCGGGCCAAGAAAGCUGAGAAAAUUGCUGGGAAACGACCCAGGGAUGAUGAUGAGGGUCGGGUCGCGGACGUGCUGGGGAAGAGGAAGGCUUUGGAGGAGGCUCAUCAGCAUGUGAUGGGGUCAGGGCCGAGGCUUCCGCCCUUUGAUCUGCAGGCACCGCCGAAGCUACCCUUCGGCAUGGAGGAUGUGUUCGCUGAAGGGGUAGAGAAGGUAGACUUCGGCAGGCUACGCCAGCAGAAGAAGGAGGUCAACCUGGCUAUGCACCGGCAGGAGGUGCCCUUAGUGAAAGUCUUCCUGGAAGGCGUGAAGAGCGACCCUGAGGCUCUGGCGAGGACUCCAGCUGCUUCCUUCAUUGACCGGGCCCAAAAGACGAUCCUCACCUCUGCCUAUGUAAGUGUUUAGGCCAUUUUUGAAUGUAUUUGUGUUGGAUUAUUUGUGUGGAUUGACUAACAUGGUUUUGGUUUUGCAGGCCUUUGGCGAGAUGUACGUCAGCAUGGCCAAGGCUGACAAGGAGAUCCAGAGGCUGAAGAGGCGGGAUGAGCUAGCCAAGAGCAAAAUGGCAGAGGCGCAGGAGGCCAUCCGAGAGAAGAACACCUUGCUGGUUCAGAAGGCGGCCCUGGCCAAGGAGGUGGAGGAGCUGAAGAGAUCUAGGGCCGAGGAGGUGGCUGCUGCCCGAGCCGAGGCGAUUGAGUCCUUCCGAUCCUCAGAGGAGCUGAAGAGCUAUAUCAUGGACCGACUGGUUGAUGAGCAGCUUCGCUGGGAAGAUAGGUUGGUUAGGUUCAACCCCUCACUGGAGAUUAACUUUGACACCAGUGGCGAGCCUCCUGCACAGACCCCUCCUGCUGAUGCUAGCGCCCCGACACGAGAGGCUGAGCCAGCCACUGAGGAUGCUCCUUCGACCGAGUCCUGAAGGCGUUGCCUUCGUGAUGUGUUAUAGCUAUUUUGUACUCUAGUGAUUGUGUUUGAACACUUGUUUGUUUUGUUUACUUUGGUUAUGUAUGAACAUUUGUCCUUGCCUGGAGCAAGGCUGUUUUUAUUUAUGAUAUGAACUUAGCUUGAUAUCAAUUGUGUUAACAAUGAUAACAAUGUGAGUUCAUGAGAAUGAGCCUGAGUCAGGCAUUUUAUUGAAAUAGAUGCCGAAAGGCAGAAGGUACAAGUGGUCUAGGGUCUAGAUACCUUACGUCUAACUUACAGUAAAUAAUCAAGACCAAAGUAUUAUCCUAGGGUCUAGAUAUGUUUACUUGUAAUAGUACUUGAGGUGGUCAGCAUUCCACGGGUGAGGCAGCGUCUUGCCUGAGGAAUCACGAAGCUGAUAAGUGCCGGGGCAGCAGAUUUUGAUAAUCUCAUAAGGACCUUCCCAUGUAGGGCCGAGGGUACCCUCGUUGGGAUUUUUGGUAGCCAAGGAAACCUUGCGCAUGACCCAGUCCCCCAUUUUGAAAGCACGGGGCUUGACUCGGGAGUCAUAGUAUUUGGCGAUGCGUUGCUUGUACGCGGCAUUGCGCAUGCUUGAUUGGUCCCGGAGUUCGUCAAUGAAGUCGAGGUUGAGGGCCAACUGCUCGUCAUUGGCCGUGGCAUCGUAAGUGGAGGUUCGGUAUGUGGGCUGGCCAAUCUCUACCGGAGCCACGGCCUCGGUUCCAAAUGAUAGGGAGAACGGCGUUUCACCCGUGGAUGUGCGGAAGGUGUUGCGGUAGGACCAGAGUACUUCUGGGAGUAGUUCUGGCCAGCAGCCCUUGGCUUUGUCAAGUUUUGUCUUGAGGGUCUUCUUGAUAAUUUUGUUCACGGUUUCGACCUGGCCAUUGGACUGAGGAUGGGCUGGGGAGGCGAAACACAGACGAAUCUUGAGGUUCGAACAAAAUUGUUUGAAUUUGGCGUUGUCAAAUUGCCGGCCAUUGUCGGUGAUGAUGGAGUUGGGGAUGCCGAAGCGACAUACAAUGUUUUGCCACACAAAGGAUUCGAUGCGAGCCGCAGUGAUGGUGGCCAAGGCCUCGGCCUCAGCCCACUUGGUGAAGUAGUCUACGGCCACAACAGCAUACUUGACUUGGCCCUUGCCCUCUGGCAUCGGUCCGAUGAGAUCCAGUCCCCAUUGGGCAAAUGGCCAAGGACUGACCAUGGCCGUCAGUGGUUCUGCCGGGAGUUGUGGAAUGUUGGCGAAUCUCUGACAUUUGUCGCAUUUUUGGGUGAAGGCCUGGGCGUCAGUGUGGAGUGAAGGCCAGAAAUAUCCUUGGCGGAUUGCCUUAUGAGCUAACGAGCGUGCGCCCGAGUGGUUGCCGCAGAUGCCUUCAUGGAUUUCUCGGAGGACAUAGUGACCCUCCUCUGGAGUCAGGCAUCGGAGGUAAGGAAGGCUGAAACCCCGCUUGUAUAAGGAGCCAUUAAUGAUCAGGUAACGGGCAGAGCGAUGGCGAACGCGUCGUGCUUCUGCCGGAUUAGCCGGUAGUGUUUGGUUUUGUAAGAAUUGGAGGAUGGGGUCCAUCCAUGUAGGGCUGUGAUCAAUAGUGCAGAUGAGUGGGGCUUGUGUGCUGGGCUGGGCCAAAAACUCGAUGUGGAUGUGGCGACCCAGUCCUUGCUCCAAGGCUGAUGCCAACCUGGCUAGUGCAUCGGCAUGGCUAUUCUCGGAGCGCGGCACCUGCCUGAUAGAGUGGGCUUGGAAGUUUGCCAGCAAGUGCCGAGCUUGCUGGAGGUAGGCCGUCAUAGAGGCAUCCUUAGCCGUGAAGUCCUGGUUGACCUGGUGGACCACAAGUUGUGAAUCGCUGAAUAUCUGAAUUUGCCUGGCGUCCAUCUCUUUGGCUAAUCGAAGACCAGCUAAGAGUGCUUCAUAUUCGGCCUCAUUGUUGGAGGCUUGGAAUUUGAAGCGAAGGGCGUACUCGAGGGCAACCUUGUCUGGGGAGAUGAGAACGAGGCCGGCCCCACAGCCCUGGGCAUUAGAAGAGCCGUCUACGAAUAAGGUCCACAGGGGCUGGGUUAGGUCGAGAUUGCCUUCGGUGGGGGUUUGGUCCUGGCUGGGAGGGGGGUUGGGUUCGAUUAUGAGCUGGGUAGCUGCGGAAGCUUGGGGAUCCGUGAAUUCGGAUAGGAAGUCAGCAAUGGCCUGGCCCCUCAUAGCCGGGCGGGGUUUGUAGUGAAUAUCAAACUCGCCCAGUUCAAUGGCCCAUUUGACCAGCCUCCCAGAGGUUUCUGGGUUCUGCAACACCUGUCGGAGCGGGUGGUUGGUUAAGACAUGGAUGGUGUGAGCUUGGAAAUAUGGUCGGAGGCGUCUUGCCGAGACGACCAGGGCGAAUGCCAAUUUUUCGAUGUCCGGGUAACGAACUUCGGCAUCUUGCAAUGCUUUACUAACAUAAUGCACUGGGUGCUCCGCGUGAUCUUUUGAUCGGAUAAGCACAGAGCUAACAGCCGAAGCUGAGAUGGAGAGAUAAAUCACGAGGAUGUCUCCGUGCUCAGGGGUUGACAAUAAAGGGGCCCGACCCAUAUACUCCUUCAGCUCGCUGAAAGCCGUGUCACAUUCAGCAGUCCAGGUCAUGUUUCUUUUGGUGCCUUUAAGGGCCUUGAAGAAUGGGGCGCAACGGUCAGUGGCUUUGGAGAUAAAUCUGGUCAGGGCUGCGACACGCCCUGUAAGGCUUUGGAUAUCCUUGGCCGUCUUAGGUAUUGUCAUAUCUAAGAUGGCCUGGAUCUUUUCUGGAUUGGCCUCAAUGCCCCUCUGGCUGAUCAUGAAGCCAAGGAAUUUUCCGGAAGCCACCCCGAAUGCACAUUUGGUGGGGUUAAGCCUCAUUUUGUAUUGCUUCAGAAUGGUGAACAUGGCAGAGAGGUUGGGGAUGUGCUGGUCAGCCGUGCGACUCUUGACUAGCAUGUCAUCGACAUAGACCUCCAUGGUAUUGCCAAUCAGGGGGGCAAAGAGCUGAUUCACCAGACGCUGAUAAGUGGCCCGGCGUUUUUGAGGCCGAAGGGCAUCACCUUAUAGCAGUAGAGGCCGCGGUCCGUAAUGAAAGAGGUGUGUGCCUGAUCUUCGGGGUGCAUGAAGAUCUGGUUGUAACCUGAAUAAGCAUCCAUGAAGCUAAGGAGGGCGUGGCCGGCUGUGGCGUCGACUAGCUGGUCAAUGCGGGGUAGCGGGAAGCUGUCCUUUGGGCAUGCCCGAUUAAGGUUGGUGUAGUCGACACACAUGCGCCAGCCCUUUCUUGGCUUGCGGACCAUCACGACAUUGGCCAGCCAUGUGGGAUAGUCAACCUCCCUGAUGAAUCGGAUACUACUCAAUCGAUCCACCUCCGCCUUCAUGGCCUCAUAGCGCUCGGGAUCAUAGGCUCGACGCUUCUGUCGGACUGGUCGGACGGCAGGAUUGACGCUAAGCCUAUGAGAUAUGAUGUCUGGUGAUAUGCCAGGCAUGUCAUUGUAGGACCAAGCGAAGACUUCGGAGUUGAGGCGGAGGAAGGCGACCAGGUCAGAGCGAAGCUCUGGUGAGAUGGAGGUGCCGAUCCGGACUUGUCGAUCCGGGAUAUCGUCAUGGAGGGUAACCAGCUCCAGGUCCUCCAUAGGUUCGGCCUGUGGUGCGAUGGACUCCUCCCUGGGGUCUUCAGGUGGGUCUGUGCCAGCUUGAGGAGGGGCGGGAGCCUGGGUUACUGCUAGGGCUUCACUCCUAUGUUGGCGAUUGGUGGAUUUGAUGGCUGAAGCAUAGCAGCUUCGGGCUCCGAGUUGGUCGCCGCGCACCGUGCCUGGGCCAUUAGGAGUGGGGAACUUCAACAGCAGUAUAUGCGUGAAAAUAAAAGCCUUCAUUUGGGCCAAGGCUGGGCGGCCGAGGAUGACGUUGUAGGCUGUGGGGCAAUCGACGAUAAGGAAGGGGGUAGUGAUCGUCGUCCGCUGGGGUGCGGCCCCAAUUGAGAUGGGGAGAUGAAUGCUGCCAAUGGGCUGGACCACAUCACCCGAGAAGCUCACAAGGGGUGUGAUGCUUCGGUCGAGUAGGUGAGGCGGGACCUGGAGUUCAUUGAAGCACUCGGCGAACAUCACACUGACCGAGCUGCCAGUGUCCACCAGGAUACGCCCAACGUCGAAGUUAGAAAUGUCAGCCCGGAUAAUAAGUGGAUCGUCAUGGGGGAGGAUAACACCACGCUCCUCCUCCUCGCAGAAGGUAAUGGGGGCCCAGCCAGUCCUGUGGGUCUUUGGCAAUCGUCCCUGCUCGGUGCUGAAGACCUGGUGCGCAUAGGUGGAGCGGACAUAAUGUUUGAUGGAGUUGUUGGAGGUGCCAGCCAGGGUAGGACCUCCGCUGAUGGUGGAGAUCAUGUUGAUUUGUCGUUGGUGAGGGUUAGGCGGGGCUGGUAUGUUGCGCACAUAGUUGUCCAGCUUACCUUCCCGGAUGAGCCCUUCAAUUAUGUUGCGCAAGGCAACACAAGAUUCGGUGUCAUGGCCGCUGAAUUGAUGAAAGCGGCAGAAGACCCCCGUGUUUGGCAUAGGCUUGUUGGAUGGUCUCCGGGGGGGUGGCUUGGGGAUGAUGGGGGCUUCACGUGCCAGGACGUUCUCAUAGGUGGUGUUGAGGGUCGUAAAAACCUCAAACCUGGGCCUGGGUGCGAAUGGAAGUGGGGCCCGAUCACCAGGCCUGGGAGGGUUGCUUCCACUAGAUUGAUGGGGGUUGCCAUGUCUGCCACGUUUGUGAUUGCCGAAGGGAUGCUGGUAGCUAUCCUUCCGCUUAUGUGGUUGGUUGUCCUGGGCAAUCGGGGCAGGGGUAGAAUGCUGAGGUGGGGCUGGGGCGGGUGCUGAAGCCGGUGGAGGGUCGGCGAAAGUGUUGCGCGCCAAGUUGGCUGGGCCACGCUUGGAAUUGAAGUAUUCAGCCUUAGCGUGGAUCGCCGCCUGCUUCAUCAGCUCUGCAUAUGUGUUCCAACUGUUGCUAUGAACCAGGUAGCGGAAGUUGGACUCGCGGAGGCCGCUCUUAAAAGCGCCGAAGGCAGCGCGAUCGUCAGUGUCUGGGCAGCGAGAGUAUUCAUGACUGAACCGAGCUGCAUAUUCCCGAAGGGGUUCGUCCUCAGCCUGCCUAAGCAUAUACAAGUCGUCGGCAGAGUAUAGGCGAUCAGUCUGGAUCAUAAAAUGGUCCAGGAACGUCUGCUUGAGACUAUCGAAGGAGUUGAUGGUGCAGGGGUGGAGCCUGUAGAACCAAUUCAGGGCCGCGCCGCUGAGGGUGGAAGGGAAAAGGAGGCACAUGCCUUCAUCAGUGAGGCCUUUGCACCCAAGGGCAGACUGGAAGGAGUGGAUGUGGGUGAGAGGGUCCUCCGUGCCAGUGUAGAAAGCGAUGCGGAGGGGCUGGAUAUCUUUCUCCUGGUGGUAGUGGAGGAUGCGUUCAGUAAAGGGCCCUGGUCGUGGUUUUGCCCAGAGGGGUUGAUGGCUGCGUUGUUGUUCGCUUUCCAAGCGCCGGACCUUUUCGAAGAGAAGCCUCAUGGCCGGGUCGGCAUGAGGAAGAGUUUCAGGCGCCAAAGGCCUGGGGGCGGGGCAGACAGGGACUGGGGAUUGUUCCCAAUUUUCCAGCGCCCCGGUGUGGUAAUUUGGCCAGGUCUCCGAAUUAUAAAAGUCCCAAGUAUCCGAGUCCCCGACACCUUCCUCGUCGGGUAUGCGGACGGGGGCUGGCGAAGGGCCCGGGUGUGUCACCCGUGGGUCUUCGAGGUUGACAGGGAUAGGGAUCGGCCUUGGCUGGCGGUCCGAGAGGCGAUCCCUGCAAUCUUGGUAGAUCCUGACUGGUUCAUGGGGCCGGUCCCUCGGUGGGGGAACGCAAAGGGGUCGUGACUGGGCUAUCUCCGGAUGAAGGUGGUCCUUACCCUUGCGGAGCCUAGCCUGGGCCGAGGCACUGUGGCUGGAAUGUACCGGCUGGUUCGGCUGAGUAGGCCCAACGUUCUGGGUGAGGUCUUGCGGGGCAUCCUGGGUGUGAGUCCUUUCCCAGUUCCGCUUUAAAACACGGUAGUCAUGUUCUAGCUCAAUGUUCCUGCAAUGAAGGUGGUCGUAUUUUUCCGACAUUUUAGUGACACUGUCGCGGAGACGCUCCACUUCUGCCUGGAGAGUGGCAUCUUCCGAAGAUCUCCUUCUAGAAGUACCAUCGCGGGGGGUAUGAUGCUGGGUAUCGCGGCUAUCCUCGGUCGGCAUAGCAGAAUGUGGGGUGAAGAAGAGGCGACGGGGCCUGAGGGGUGAAGGAGCCAGCUGGGCUGAUAGAGAAAGAGGGGAUUCAAGUGUCGAUUUCCCACAGACGGCGCCAAACUGUUGAUGCUCAAAAUGGCCCGGCCAAUAUUGAGUCCAACUUAGUGAUUAGAUGUGCUGAGUCUUCAGCAGAGAAGAGGGCUGAGGCCCUUGGUGAAAUGGGUUGGUGAGAGACCUGUAGAAGGUAAAAAGAGGAGAAGCAAUCGUCAAGCUUCGGACACCGGUGUGGUGCCGGCCGAAGGCUCUCCGAUGCCUAAGUCAAUUACAAGUAGUAAUUCUGGCAGAGUAACAGUAAAAGUGGGAGAGUAGUUCUCUGUUUUACCUGGGUACUGUUCCCUAUUUAUAGGGAAGUGAAAGUGGGAGCUUUGCACAAAGUUCCAAUGUGGGACUUUGUGCAAGCCAUUGUGGUGACGACACGUGUCCUGGAGAUUAGGUUUGGCAGCUGAGAGCUUCGGCAGGUGUCUGGCACCUCGGAAGUGUGUCUUCCUUCGGCAUGGGAGAAGGCGUGGCUGCCUUGGUGCUAGUCGCUUUGAUGCUGGGUCUGCUCGGUUCAUUAUGGUGUAAACAUAAAGUAUUAGGAAUUUUCUUUAGCACCUUGACAUUCAAUUUUCUCUAGUCUCAUUAUGAUUGACGUGUGAUUUCCAUAACAUUAAUUAUGCAUUGUAUAUAGCAGAUAAUUUACUCCUUUAUAUGGUUUUGUCUUGUAUGAUUGUGUGGCUUUCUUCCUUUUUUCCUAUAUAUAUCUGAUGCAAGCUAGCAUAUAUCAAUAUACACUUGCAGUGUUUUUGCAUGUGCAUGUGCUUUUGAUCAAUUAACAUGAAGGGCGACGGAAGGUGCUUGAAACUCUUUCUUGCAUUAUCGAUCCUUUUCCUACAAAACGUAAAAGGAGGAGAAGUUGGCCACAGCCACAACCACAGCCACAGUCACAGCCUCAGAGAUGCUAAAGUGACAGUGAGGUGCAUAGAGAGGGAAAGGCAAGCACUACUUGCAUUCAAACGUGGCCUGGUGGAUGAGUUCAAUCUACUCUCAACUUGGGGUUCAGAAGCCGAAAAACAAGAUUGUUGCAGAUGGGAAGGAGUCUAUUGUAGCAACCAAACUGGCCAUGUGAUUCAACUUCAUCUUGGAUAUUCUUUCCUUGAUGAGAUGUUUCAACCUGCUUUUGAAUAUUCUUUCCAAGGUAAGAUGAUUAGUCCUAAACUGAUUGAGUUGCAGCAUUUACAAUAUUUGCACCUUGCAUCCAUUGAUUUCAAUGAGAGCCAAAUUCCUGAUUUCAUUGGUUCUCUAACCAAUCUAAGAUACCUCAGUUUCCAUUCCUGUCAUUUGGUUGGUCAAAUUCCAAGUUCGUUUGGAAACCUCACGCAAUUGCAAUAUCUCGACCUCAGCUAUAAUUAUCAGCUUCAACCAGAAAAUCUCAAUUGGCUCGUUGCUCUUUCUUCUUUAACGGAUUUGGGCCUUGCAUCCUUUGAUUUCAAUUGGAGCCAAAUUCCAGAUUUCAUUGGUUCUCUAACCAAUCUAAGAAACCUCAAACUCUCUUCCUGUAAUUUGGUUGGUCCAAUUCCAAGUUCGUUUGGAAACCUCACACAAUUGCAACAUCUCGACCUCGCCAAUAAUCAGCUUCAACCAGAAAAUCUCAAUUGGCCCCCCGCUCUUUCUUCUUUAACAGAUUUGGACCUAAGCGGAAACAAUCAAAAUACUGUUUUGGACCUUGCAUCGAUUGAUUUCAAUGGGAGUCAAAUUCCAGAUUUCAUUGGUUCUCUAGCUAAUCUAAGGUACCUCAGUCUCAGUUCCUGUAAUUUGGUUGGUCAAAUUCCCAGUUUGUUUGGAAACCUCACGCAAUUGCAACAUCUCGACCUUAGCGGUAAUCAUCUUCAAGCAGAAAAUCUCAAUUGGCUCCCUGCUCUUUCUUCUUUAACGUAUUUGGACCUAAGCGGAGCCAAUCUCAGUACUGUUUUCGAUUGGCCAGAAGCAGUACUUAAUAAGCUCCCUAAACUAGAAGAGUUGACCUUGGUGAACUGUAGUCUUCCUCCUCCUCCUCCUCCUCCUCCUACUCUUUACAAAACAAAUUCUUCUACAUCUCUUGCGUAUGUUGAUCUCUCUGACAACCAUCUCACUUCUUCAAUAUUUCUUUGGUUGUCCAACUACAGUACAAGCCUUGUUGCUCUUGGCCUCUCCAACAAUCAUCUAUCUGGUUUCAUUCCCAAUUUCAUUGGAAACAUGAGCUCUCUUGUGGAUCUGGAUCUCUCUGAUAACCAGAUUAAAGGAGCGAAUCCAAAUUCGUUUGCAAGGCUGUGUAAUUUGCAAACAUUGCAGCUUCAAAGAAAUCAUCUGAGUGGACAAUUAUCUCAACUAUUGCCUAGAUGUGCUCAAAACUCAUUAGAGGAAUUGUACCUCUCUAAUAAUGUUCUUGCGGGGUCAUUAAACAAUCUUACAAGCUUCUCAUCUUUGGAAGUCUUGCAUCUUAGCGCCAAUCAAUUAAGCGGAAAAAUACCUGAAAGUGUUGGGCAAAUGUCCCAACUGUAUGACAUUGAUUUCAGCAUGAACUCUUUGGAAGGGGUGGUUUCAGAAACUCAUUUCUCAAAACUCUCCAAAUUAGAAUAUUUGGAUUUAUCCUCUAACUCACUAGUUUUAAACUUUAGUUCUAAUUGGGUUCCUCCCUUCCAGUUGAGAUACAUAAAUUUGACGUCCUGCAAGGUCGGUCCCCUUUUCCCAAAAUGGCUUCAAACUCAAAAACAUUUUUCCCUGCUUGAUAUUUCUAAUGCUGGAAUAUCUGAUAGCCUUCCAAGUUGGUUUUGGAGUAAUUUUCGUAGCGCAGACAUUAUUAAUCUCUCACAGAAUCUAAUCAGAGGAAUACUUACAAAUUUGACAGCAGAAUUUCCAUUUUACGCAGAACUACAUUUAAGUUCGAACCAAAUAGAAGGUCCAAUUCCCUCAAUUCUAUCACAAGCCUCAUAUCUGGAUCUCUCUAAUAAUAACAUUUCAGGGUCGCUUUCUUUCCUAUGUGCAAGUGCAGAUAUGAGUUAUCUUAAUCUUUCAAGCAACAGUUUUUCUGGAGAACUUCCGGAUUGCUGGAGCCAUUUGGAGAAUAAUCUAGUCAUGCUUGAUUUGAGUAACAACGCUUUUUCCGGAAAAAUUCCCAUGACAAUAGGCUCUUUAUUUCAAAUGCAAACUUUGAAAUUAAGAAGCAACCGAUUUGUUGGAGAAUUGCCUUCAUCGUUGAAGAACUGCACAAGUUUAGAGGUUAUUGAUCUGGGAGAUAAUAAAUUAUCAGGACCAAUACCUACAUGGUUAGGUGUGAGCUUCAAUAAUUUGGUUAUCCUGAUGCUUUCCUCUAAUCACUUCAAUGGAAGCAUGCCCUCGCAAUUAUGUCAUCUAACACGAAUUCAAAUUAUGGAUUUUUCUGUGAACAACAUCUCUGGAAGCAUACCCAAAUGCCUCAACAAUUUGACUACUCUGGCUCAAAAAGGAAAUCCAAGUCUAUCCAGUAGACAUUCUUAUACGAGACUUAUGGGUAAUAACACAGCUGCUAGUGCUAAUUAUGAGGAUGAUGCAAGCUUCAUAUGGAAAGGAAGAAUGCAGACAUACAAAAGCACUUUGGGACUUGUGAAAAGAAUUGAUCUCUCAAGCAAUAGAUUAACAGGGGAGAUUCCAAGUGAAAUCACUCAUCUUGUUGAGUUGGUUUCUUUAAACCUUUCAAGAAACCGGUUAACAGGUCAAAUAACUCCAGAGAUUGGAAAUUUGCAGUCAUUGGAUUCUCUUGAUUUGUCAAGAAACCAGAUAGAUGGAAGAAUUCCGACAAGCCUUGCUCGGAUAGAUCGUCUUAGUUUCUUGGACCUGUCAUAUAACAACUUGUCUGGCAAAAUACCAACAGGCACUCAGCUCCAAAGCUUUGAUCCCCUUGAUUAUGCUGAAAAUCCUCAACUAUGUGGACCUCCACUUAAAAAGAUGUGUGCUGAUCAAAAUGAGCCAUUGAGCAAUGAAGAGGAUAAGGAUGAGUUUAUAACACUGGGAUUUUACAUCAGUAUGGGGAUUGGAUUUGCUGCUGGAUUUUGGGGAGUUUGCGGCACUUUGAUAUUCAAUAGGUCAUGGAGAUAUGCAUACUUGAAGUUCUUGAAUGGUUUAAAUGAUUGGCUCUAUGUGAAGAUAGCUUUGAGCAAGCGGCAACUAAAGCUAGCAUAUGCUUAGUAGAUAAGCUCGCAACGGUACUCUCUCAUUCAUCAUUAAUUUUGUUUUAUAAUUAUUUUUCUUAUUGCAUUUUUUCCUUUUCUCCAUACUGACGGGUAUUAGUUUGUUUACUUUGAUAUUUAGCUGCAGCAUCUAAAUUAGGAGAAAAGUAGUUGUAGCUGAAUGCCUUCUUUCAGUUCAAGUGUGGAAGAUUGCCAGUAGCCGCACGCACAAGUAUCUGGAGAAGAGUUUACGAGUUAAUUUGGAGUGCUUAGUAGGAAUAAAUAUUAUUCAUAUUAGUGUUAAUUACUUGUCAGAAUAAUUAAUUCGGAAUUCUCCAAUUAAUGUUUUUUAAUAUAUUUGUUAUAGAGAAAUAAACAGAUCCAUUUUAAUCCAAGCUCACUCCGAUUAAUGUAUUAAUUCCAGCUAUAAUGUUAUUUUAAUGAACUAAGCCAAAGCCAAAGCGGACUUGAUUUCAAAUUACAAUGUGUGGCUCUGUUUUGGUCAUCUAUUUGCAACGUACAGCUUCUCCUUGUAAAUGCGUGGCUUUGUUUUGGUCAUUCUUUCCUUUCAUAAUUCAACAUCUUGUUCUGGAUUCCUUUUUGUAAACAGACUUUUUGUAUUUGGUCUAUUUUGUGGAUUUUAAGAUUGUGUUAGGCUUACUUGUUAGCUGCAAAAUGCCUUGUACCAAAACUAAAUGGUUUAUCCAUACUCUUCUUGGCUUCAAGCUGAUAUCUCCUAAAGUAGAAAUGAAGAAAUAAAAUAGCUUCUAAAUUACACGAGAUUCUACCCCCAGCUUGCUUGCAGUAUAUGAUACACAUAUCUAGCACGUUGAAUCCAUACAGAAAAACCAAAAGCAGCAUAUGAUACACAUAUCUUGCACGUCUCUUGCUAAGACGCCAAGAGUUAGGUUCACGGUAUCUAUCAUAUAGCGGUUCAAUACGUUCUUGACGCUUGCGCUUGCUCAUCUUGGUGGGAUCUGCCACUUUGAAGAACCUGGGUGCCAGUUCCGCGAGCCAUCUGGGGUCAACGACUGUCACCUCGCGCAUGUACUCCUUUGUGGUCAUAACCAGCUCCUGGUAGAUCACCCAAUCUGGUUGUCUCUGGAAGAGGGCGCUGCUUGGGUGUAUAUAAACUGGUUGGUUCUCCACUAGGGUUCUAUAACCCUCCUGCGGGUCCUUUCUAGCACCGUGGAAGAAAAACCCUGCUGUAAUUGCCUUCCUGAUCUUUGUAAAAUUCUUUCCAGCACUGACAACAUCUAGUUUAUACCUGAAAUUCACAAUCUAUAGUCAGAAUGCAAUUUCAUCUUCAAAUCAGAAAACUUAGAAAUCUUUGAUCACUGUUAUAAACUAAAGCAACCGGUGCUAGUAGAGACAUUGGCAUGACAAACUUAUGCUAAGUUUUUAUACACAAUCUUUAUAAUAAUCUAUCCUAGAACUUACAUGACAAUGCUAUGUCAAUCAAAGAAAUCUGUUAAUGGCGAUGGUAGGAUGUGUAAUAUGCCAUCUGAAUUUCCAUAUCAACUUAUAAAACAGUUUUGCAAUAUUUUGUACAAACAACACUUUACCAAGAAAAACAAUUCCAGUAUCAAAAUGACUAACAUGUCAGCACAAGAGAGCACAUUUGAAGAGCAUAUACUGGCAAUUUAGCUAUACACAAGAGUAGUUAUAAUUUAUAAAGAUACUAUACUUAACCAUUGAAAAAAUGGGAAAAAAGCACUUCUGCUAAUAAUGCUCGGAAAACAGUGUAUGUAACAUCAACAUGAGUCAUGACAACUCGUAAUGACCUAUUCAAUGCUCAGGUAUCAUAUAUCAAGAUUUUAAAACACAAACUAGGCCUGAACAACAUUUCAGCAUUUCCAUCAAGUACAGACAGCAAAAGGCGUGCCUAAUUCACGACUACUGCAAAAAUACAAUGUACCAAACAUAAGAAAACCUAGAACAUUAAUCUACAUCUUUUAAAACCAUUCAUGCACAUGUGAAACCAGAAAAAAAAUCCAUGCAGCCACGAAUACACAUCAAGAUAAAUUAGAAGAACAUACUUGUCCAUGAUGCUGAGAAGCUGUUUUCUGACAUCCUGUGCCCUCCUCAAGGAUCGAGACUGAACAAAGUUCUCAAAACACCAUGGCCCUGAAAAAUUCUUAGCUUUCCAUGCCUCAUAGACUGCAAGUAAAGUCAGAUGAUCUCCUUCUGGCUGGAAAAACUUGGCUCUCUUCUGAUCUGCCUGGGCUUGUUUUUCCCUAGGCCUGUAAAAAAUAUUACCAGUCUGAAUCAUUGCAAUGAUGGUCAAGAUCUCAUCACUGCAUCCAAGGUCGACACUGCCCAGUAGCAUCUUAGACAAGGUGGAUCCAGAGGAAACUCAGCCAUUUUCCUACCCAAUUUGGUGAGCAGCCCCUCCUCAUCCAGUGCUCCUAAACUGUACAAUUGUUCCAUGGCAGAAAUGAGUGCUUGGGGUGAAGGAGGAUCCAUAAAAUCAAAAGACAAGAGAUCAUUUAUCCCCAUAGCUUUCAUCGUAAGUGAAGUUGUCCCAAGAUUUAUCCUCUGGAUUUCUGGAAUUGAAGUAGGGGACAUCUCAUUGCGGUAUGCACUCUCAGUGUAGAGGCGGUAACAUUUCCCAGGGCCUGUACGCCCAGCGAACCCAGCUCGUUGCUUGGCUGAUGCUUGGGAAAUUGGAGUUAUGACAAGUGAAUCUAGGCCCUGCUUUGGGUUAUAAACAUUUUGCUUUGCAAAACCAGGAUCAAUGACAUAAAAUAUCCCAUCAAUGGUCAGUGAUGCCUCAGCAAUAUUAGUAGCCACAACUACUUUCCUCUAACCUGGUGGGGCAGGAUCAAAUAUCCUUGACUGCAUUUCACUAGGAAGGGCACUAUACACUGGUAGGAUAAUCAACUCAGGGACAUUUUUACCAAGACCUUUCAUCCUCUCAUAAAGAGACUAGCAUGCAAAAUCGAUCUCUUCUUGUCCAGUCAAGAAAAGAAGGAUGUCACCUUCAGGUUCUGUCAAGUGUAUUUGUAGAACAGUUAUUAGAGAUGCAUCAAGGUAGUCACUUUCCGUCUGUUUAGUGUAAAGUAUCUCUACAGG
rnacentral:lncRNA from 1 species